GGAGAAGGAAAGUCGCUCAAGCAGUGGACAGAGCGGAGAAAGCGACUUCGGGUUGGUUGAAGGUGAAUGAAGGAGGGAAGAAAGGAGAGACAGAGAAAAUAUGGGAAGUAUGCAGCUGGCAUCAGAAGCUGGAAGAUAGGAUCUUCCCGGAUCACAGCUCCUGUUCAGAAAGUCUGAGGAUGUCAGACUGAGACUGUUGAGUCUGAGGAUGUCAGACUGAGAUUGUUGAGUCUCAGGAUGUUGCAGGACAGGAUGGAUGAAGAAUGCUAGUCCUGGCAGUUGGGGCCUAAGGCCAGGGCCCUUUUUUAUCACUUUCUUGUGUUGCCUCUCUGCCCAAGAAAAAAUCUGUCUCUUGCAUACAGCUCCUCUAAUACGUGUCCAUUAGAAGGAAGGAGUUUCUUUAAUGAGCUCUAUGGUUUUAUCUUGCUCAUAACAGCUUAGUUUAAUGCCACUGAAACUGUAACAUUUUUUUGUGCCUAAUAUCAACUGACAAAUAUAAAGUUAUUCCUAAUUUAUUAAUUCAAAUGAUAUAUUGCAAAAUAAAAUCUGCUUAAUAUGAAAAGAAGUAA
rnacentral:lncRNA from 10 species